rnacentral:rRNA from 1 species
CGGGAGGCAGCAGUGAGGAAUAUUGGUCAAUGGNCGCAAGUCUGAACCAGCCACGUCGCGGAAGGAAGACGGCCCUACGGGUUGUAAACUUCUUUUNUACGGGAAUAAAGUGCNCCACGUGUGGGGUUUUGCAUGUACCNUAAGAAUAAGGAUCGGCUAACUCCGUGCCAGCAGCCGCGGUAAUACGGAGGAUGCGAGCGUUAUCCGGAUUUAUUGGGUUUAAAGGGUGCUCAGGCGGGGGGUUAAGUCGGCGGUGAAAUUUUGCAGCUCAACUGUAAAAGUGCCUUUGAAACUGGUUUCCUUGAGUGUGGAUGAGGUAGGCGGAAUUUGUGGUGUAGCGGUGAAAUGCAUAGAUAUCACGAGGAACUCCGAUUGCGCAGGCAGCUUACCAAGCCGUAACUGACGCUCAAGCACGAAGGCGUGGGGAUCAAACAGGAUUAGAUACCCUGGUAGUCCACGCAGUAAACGAUGAUUACUGGCUGU